UACGAAGGGGGCUAGCGUUGUUCGGAAUUACUGGGCGUAAAGCGUAUGCAGGCGGAUCGUUAAGUCGGGGGUGAAAUCCCGAGGUUCAACCUCGGAACUGCCUUCGAUACUGGCGAUCUUGAGUCCGGGAGAGGUGAGUGGAACUCCGAGUGUAGAGGUGAAAUUCGUAGAUAUCUGGGAGGAACACCGGUGGCGAAGGCGGCAUCCUGGACCGACACUGACACUGAGGAGCGAAAGCCAGGGGAGCAAACGGG
rnacentral:rRNA from 1 species